UGCCGAGAUAGUCUAGCCUGGUAAGGCGCAAGACUGGAAAUCUUGUGGGGAUUUUCCCCGCCUGGGUUCAAAUCCCAGUCUCGGCGU
rnacentral:tRNA from 3 species